rnacentral:rRNA from 1 species
AGUGAACGCUGGCGGUAGGCCUAACACAUGCAAGUCGAACGGCAGCACAGUAAGAGCUUGCUCUUACGGGUGGCGAGUGGCGGACGGGUGAGGAAUACAUCGGAAUCUACUUUUUCGUGGGGGAUAACGUAGGGAAACUUACGCUAAUACCGCAUACGACCUACGGGUGAAAGCAGGGGAUCUUCGGACCUUGCGCGAUUGAAUGAGCCGAUGUCGGAUUAGCUAGUUGGCGGGGUAAAGGCCCACCAAGGCGACGAUCCGUAGCUGGUCUGAGAGGAUGAUCAGCCACACUGGAACUGAGACACGGUCCAGACUCCUACGGGAGGCAGCAGUGGGGAAUAUUGGACAAUGGGCGCAAGCCUGAUCCAGCCAUACCGCGUGGGUGAAGAAGGCCUUCGGGUUGUAAAGCCCUUUUGUUGGGAAAGAAAAGCAGCAGGUUGAUACCCCGCUGUUCUGACGGUACCCAAAGAAUAAGCACCGGCUAACUUCGU